GAGAAACCCUUCUGGGGCAAGACUUGCUUCAGUGGGGCUUUGGUGCUCACUGAGUGUGCCCCUGAGUGUGUCCCU
rnacentral:pre_miRNA from 1 species